UACGUAGGGUGCAAGCGUUAAUCGGAAUUAUUGGGCGUAAAGAGCUCGUAGGCGGCUUGUCACGUCUGCUGUGAAAACUCGGGGCUCAACCCCGAGCCUGCAGUGGAUACGGGCUAGCUAGAGUGCGGUAGGGGAGACUGGAAUUCCUGGUGUAGCGGUGAAAUGCGCAGAUAUCAGGAGGAACACCGGUGGCGAAGGCGGGUCUCUGGACCGAUACUGACGCUGAGGAGCGAAAGCGUGGGGAGCGAACAGG
rnacentral:rRNA from 1 species